AUUUCUAUUCAAGAUGGUUAGAUCAUAUGAGAGUCAAAAAUUCCUAAAAAUCCUCAAGACUCAGUUUUACUGCCUGAAUUUUAUGACUAUUUAUAAGAAGUCUAAUCAGGGCCAUGAAAGUUAUUAUCAUUUUGAUCAAUGCAGGAAGGAACAGGUCUAAAAGCUGUCAUUUAACAAAAUAAUAAUAAAUCUCUCAUUCAUUCAUAUAUUUAAGGAAUAUUUAUCAACUGUUCAUGAUAUUCUAGGUGCCAGGAACAGUGGGGCAAUUAGACAAACCAUGGACCCUGUCCUCACAGAGUCUAGUGAAGAAGAGCAGGCAGUUGAAAGAUUAACAAUGAACUGGGUGAAUGUUAAGACGGGAUAAAUACAGGGAAGUGUGAGGCCAUGCAAAGCUCCAUUAAACCUUGUGGGAAGGUAAGGUGAAGCUGAGACGUGAAGAAUGAAUAAAGGUAGCUGACUGUGUGCAACGUACCUUCUUGCUUCUGUCUUGGAACCCACUUCCCUCAUUCCCUACACGCCCUCCCCACCUCUUCAUUCCUUCUCAUCCUCUUGGAUUUAGUUUGGGUAGCAUCUCUUCAAGGAAUUCUUCUCUGAAUCCUCCAACUCUACCAGUCUAGAGGGGACACCCCACCCCAAUGCUCUCACUGAACCCAUAUAUAUCUGCCUCCACCAGUCCUCUAAUUGCCUAUAUAAUCUUGGUCUCUUGUGCUAAUAAAAUUCAAGAAGAGGCUUUUUUGAAGCUUCUAAGAAGGCUCUUCUAGACUUCCAAAAAGCCUCUGAAAUAGCCCCUUUCACUUGACAGCCACCUUGCUACUAGCCACUGAUGAAGCUGACACACAGAGAGAGAAAGGAAAAAGCAUGGGAGGAAAACGGAGUCAAAACUACUGGAUUACAAUGUUCCUGAAUUCCACUCUGCUCCUGGACUUUCAGUGUGAGCAACUAAAUCCAGUAACCAGUGAACCACGUGACCAAGUGAUCUUCAUGCUUCUAAGAAGUUCUGACUGUAGACUUUAUCCCUGGAAUGGGAUUUAACUCCUUCUGGUCUGUAUCCCAUUUGUAACUGACUAACUUUGCAAAUAGAAGAAGAAUCCAUAGUAAAAAUUUCCCUACUUCCAAAUCCCAUUAGCUAAAUAAACAAUACUUGAUUUACUCCAUCUAUGAACAAACUCAAGAUGUUAUAGACCCCAAACUCAGAUAAAAACUAAACUCUUAAAAAAAAAAAAAGUAGAUGUCCCUACAUAAGUGUUCCAAUUUAGAGCAAUUAAAAAUUGCUUUGGCAAGAUGCCUGGUUGGCUCAAUCGGUUAAGCAUCUGCCUUCAGCUCAGGUCAUGAUCCUACGGUCCCAAAUUCCAGCCCCAUGUUGGACUCCCUGCUCAGCAGGGAGUCUGCUUCUCCCUCUCCUUCUGUGCUCUCACUCUCUCUCAAAUAAAUAAAUAAAAUCUUUUUAAAAAUUGCUUUGGCUACCUUUUAUUUUGCAAAUCAGAUAUUCCAGAACCACCUUUAUUUCCAAACGUAAAAGCAUCCCACUGCACACCUCAACAGAAUUGCCUGUAUAUCCUUAAUGUCUUUCCAAGUAAUUUUAUGCAGUCAGCACCCUAUACAUUAGGGAAGGAAUGGAUGUAUGCUCUAUGGAUUUCUUAUAAUAGCAAUGAACCUUCAUAAUCAGACCCAUUUCUUGAUUUUGCUUACUUUUUUAUGCAGCCACAUUAAUACUACAUUGUCAGACAAAGACAAGAAUGAACAUGAGACUUGAGUUAAAAAAAACAACAACAAUAACAAUACAGCCAUCCAAGGAACAAGUGCUGACCUUGUGAAAAAAACAGCUCCCAUUUUAUUAAAUAAUAGCGUUCAAGCAGGGAUGUCUGAAGUACUCUGCAAGGCUAAUUAGGACAGAUCAAUGUACACUUACCUCUCCAGAAGGCUGAAAGGUGUGUAGUGACUAUGUGUCAUUAAAAAUUUACUUGACCAUGGGCAUCAGAUGUGCAUGAGAGAAUGACCCUGGUGAGCACUCUAAGUUUCCAUUUUAC
rnacentral:lncRNA from 1 species